UGAUUUACACUAUUCUGUUUUUAUUUUUGCUGUUGAUAUUAUACCUUCAUAGAUAUUUUUGCUAUUUUGACUUUUAUUGUUUAGUACUAAUUUUAUUAAUGUUUUUCUUAUUGUGAUAAAUGACUUCUGUUGGUAGUAAAGAUCAGCCACCUUGUCGACCUCACCUAAUGGGCCUGUAGUAUCUCAUUCUAUCUCACACAUCACUAUUGUGGUGUUGAUUAGCGGCACCACCACCACCGCUGCAGCCUCGUUUGCACCUUUUGCCACCGUUCCGAUCUACUUCAUUGCAUUCACCCACUUACCCACCACUGUCCUCCUCUGAUGAGUCAGACCCCUCUACUCCAACCCCGCUGAGACAGGAUACCUCUGUACUAGUAUAGAUUGAGUCAAAGGGAGACUCAUAAAUUGUUUUUUACAUGCUGCCCAUGACACGUAUGACAUAUCACAUAGAUCAUCAAGUAUGUAUGAUGAUUCAUGUCUCUCUUGGAAGCAGAUCCCGUUAGCGACUCGUGACAUGUGAUUCCAGGAGUUUGAGAGGUCCAUCCACUGUCUACCGGAGCAUCACAGGUUGAUCCACUACAUUUUUUUUAGGUUCAGGGCAGGCAUCAGCUAGGUGAUAUGUUCACCACAUCUCAUAGGAAAGAGUAGUGACCCAUCUAGGCAGGGGAGGAGGUUUGUGUUCAGUUGACUAGGGCCCGAGCCUCUUCUAAUUAUUAGAGGAAGAGAUAAUCCAAGCAGCAGAACAAGAGGAAUAAGAGGUUCAGGGGUGCUACACUCAACUUUGAAGGCUCGAUCCCCCAAACGGAGCACUACCAGAAGCUGAGGCUGAGAAGCUUGGCAGACAAUCCACCGCUGUAGAGUUGCACGUCGGGAUGCAUCAGCGCCAAGUGACGCAAUAGUGGAUAUCUGUCUUCUUUCGGAGUACGAGCAUAUUCGAGACACACAUAGAGGGAGAGAGAGAGAGAUCCUGAUAGCCGUCAACAGCAGCGGUAGCCAGUUUACAACUGCACAUCUGAUUUUGAGAUUUGAAGGUUGGCGAUGGGAAAUAAGAAGGGGAGAGUGUACAGCCCAGGGGCAAAUAAAAUUGCAUUUGAGGCCGAGCUUUCUAGUGCUCCUUUGGGCGAUUCGAGGUCAUUAUAUCAAACAAUGAGGAGCUUGCCUGACACAUCAAUGUUAUGAGCAGUGAGAUCCGUAAGUUGCGUGAGAGCGACCAGAGAGCCGAAGACGCUUUGGCACAACUAACAAAAUAUAUUGUAGAUGAUCAUGACAAGUGGCCCUUGAGAUUUAUGGUCGAGGAUGAGGGAGAGGAUGCUGCUGAGCCUGAUGAUGAUGCUUUCGUAGGGGUUUAUGUACUUUUUUUCU